AGCAGCGUAGCUCAGUGGAAAGAGCAUGGGCUUGUGAGUCAGAGGUCAUGGGUUCAAAUCCCAGCUCUGCCA
rnacentral:tRNA from 1 species